GACGAACGCUGGCGGCGUGCUUAACACAUGCAAGUCGAACGGAAAGGCCCUGCUUUUGUGGGGUGCUCGAGUGGCGAACGGGUGAGUAACACGUGAGUAACCUGCCCUUGACUUUGGGAUAACUUCAGGAAACUGGGGCUAAUACCGGAUAGGAGCUCCUGCUGCAUGGUGGGGGUUGGAAAGUUUCGGCGGUUGGGGAUGGACUCGCGGCUUAUCAGCUUGUUGGUGGGGUAGUGGCUUACCAAGGCUUUGACGGGUAGCCGGCCUGAGAGGGUGACCGGCCACAUUGGGGAUGGGGUACGGGCCAGACUCCUACGGGGGGCAGGAGGGGGGAAUAAUUCACAAUGGGGCGGAGGCUGAUGGAGGAAACGCGGGUGCGGGAUGAACGCCUUCGGGGUGUAAACCGCUUUCGCCUGUGACGAAGCGUGAGUGACGGUAAUGGGUAAAGAAGCACCGGCUAACUACGUG
rnacentral:rRNA from 1 species